UCCGUAGGUGAACCUGCGGAAGGAUCAUUAGUGAAUAUAGCGCAUCUCUUCGGAGAGCGUGACCUCCACUUUCAACUCUGUGCAUUUUUUGGCGAGAAGACGAGACGAAGCGAGCGUAAGCUCUGCAGACAUCUCGGCCUCUUGCGGCUCAUUUUAAACACUAGUUAAAGUAUGUAACGAAAUAUCGAAACAAAAAAAACUUUCAACAACGGAUCUCUUGGCUCUCGCAUCGAUGAAGAACGCAGCGAAAUGUGAUAAGUAAUGUGAAUUGCAGAAUUCAGUGAAUCAUCGAAUCUUUGAACGCACCUUGCGCUCCCUGGCAUUCCGGGGAGCAUGUCUGUUUGAGUGUCAUGAACUCUUCAACCCACCAGUUUCUUGUAGACUGAUUGGUGUUUGGAUUUUGAGCGUUGCUGGAUCUUCGGAUCGUAGCUCGUUCGUAAUAUAUUAGCAACUCUAAUUCGAACUCGGAUUGACUCAGUGUAAUAGACUAUUCGCUGAGGACACGUGCUUGCAUGUGGCCGAAUGAGAUCUCAGUAGGAGCUUCCAACUACAGUAGUCAACUUUAGAUUAGACCUCAGAUCAGACAGGAUUACCCGCUGAACUUAAGCAUAUCAAUAAGCGGAGGAAAAG
rnacentral:rRNA from 1 species